UAGGGAAUCUUCCACAAUGGACGAAAGCCUGAUGGAGCAACACCGCGUGAGUGAAGAAGGGUUUCGGCUCGUAAAGCUCUGUUGUUAAAGAAGAACACGUAUGAGAGUAACUGUUCAUACGUUGACGGUAUUUAACCAGAAAGUCACGGCUAACUACGUGCAAG
rnacentral:rRNA from 1 species